rnacentral:lncRNA from 1 species
AGUGGUCAUAUUCCCUAUGGAUUCUUGAAGCUUAUCUUGACUAAGUUGGGUAGAAUCUGUCGAGUUGACAGCUUCGGUGAUGUCCUCAAAUCAGUUUCGAGGAUCUCAUUCGUAGAGAUCCUAACUUGGGUCAUGAUGUCUUCUUAUUAUCAUCAGAUCAUUUUUGGCUAAUAUUUGAAGGUCUCAGCCUGAGAAAAGAUAUCUUCGAGAUUUACUUGUGGAGGUUCUAACUUGGAUCAGGAUAUCUCCAAUCG